rnacentral:misc_RNA from 1 species
UUGAUUGGUCGAAAGACCUUAUCAGAUUCUACCACCUCUGUGAACCGUUGACCUCCGGGUUAAUAAUCAAACAUCAGUGUAACGAACGUAAGAGUAUCUUAACUAAACA